rnacentral:misc_RNA from 1 species
GGAAAUGGGAAUGGAGAAGAAAAUAGUAGCUGUUUUGUUGAUAGUUGGCGUGAUGUUGGGUCAUUUGCAAAGCGGUGAGCCUUCUGAUGCCGAUUGCUUUGAUGGUUGCAUCACAGCUUGCGUACAACCAAACCUAAGGCUUAUGCGACGCUGUGAGAUCAAGUGCGGAAUUAAAUGCAAUUCUGCUUCUCAAAUGGAAGAUCCUUUGGGUUGAGGUAUUCUUCACCGCAUGGGAAAAGUUGGGCUCAUUAUCUAUUGUAACAGUUAGAAAUAACGGCCUAAUAGGCUUCUUCACUUGUACGCCUUAAUUUCCUGGAAACUUUUCAUGUUUAAUUUAAAUAAAAAAAUAUAAAUAAGGGCACGUGGCGUCAAUCUAUGCUCAAUGUGACAAAUACAAGCUAAAAAUCUUUGGCUUCAUGUUUGUCUUUAAACUGUCCUUGUAAAGAAAGAGGAAGUGUUGGUCGGCUUUGACUUAAGCUUGGGAAUCCUUUGCUGUUUAGUAAUGCUUCUGAAAGAGUUCCUGCGUCGAUUGCCAAUGCAUAUGAUAUGUGAAAGUCCACCAAGGGAGUUGCUCUGAACUCUUCAUCUUGGCCGAUUUCCAACAGGUUGGGCUGGUCAUUUGGGUCAAUUGAGGUCGCCGUGGUGCCUUUUGAGCCGACUGGCUUCCUUUUUCAAGCUCCGUUGCUCUUGCCCCCUAUUCUUAUUUAUGUUGGCCUCUCAAACUCUUCUUCAAUGAUUUUCAUUCUAUAAAGGUCAAUUGUGCCUUUGGCUUGAGGAUGUACUUUUCAUUUAGUUGUUUGAGUUGUUUGUGUUAGUACGUGUACACUGCAGCUAUUAUGUUGAUUGUAGGGGUAAUUACUUAAUUUCAUGAAAAUUAAUUUUUUUUUUUUUUAAAGAAAAAAUAGCUUUUAUUUAU